AGGCAACCUUUGAUUGCUGGCAUGUAUCUUAUGAUGUCUGUGAAUACUGUUAUACCACCAGGGGAAAAAGUGGUUGAUGCAGAUAUUGCCUGCCAUUAUCAAAAGUAUCCAAUGCACCUCUUUGCCUAUAGAGUUCAUACACACCGAUUAGGUAAGGUGGUAAGUGGAUACAGAGUGAGAAAUGGUCAGUGGACCUUGAUUGGUAGACAGAGUCCGCAACUACCACAGG